UACGGAAGGUGCAAGCGUUGUUCGGAAUGACUGGGCGUAAAGCGCACGUAGGCGGGUUUGUAAGUCGGAUGUGAAAUCCCCAAGCUUAACUUGGGAACUGCAUUCGAUACUGUGAAUCUUGAAUGCUUGAGAGGUUGGUGGAAUUCCUGGUGUAGGAGUGAAAUCCGUAGAUAUCAGGAGGAAUAUCGGAGGCGAAGGCGGCCAACUGGCGAUGCAUUGACGCUGAGGUGCGAAAGCGUGGGGAGCAAACAGG
rnacentral:rRNA from 1 species